GUCGUAACAAGGUUUCCGUAGGUGAACCUGCGGAAGGAUCAUUGCAAAUCAGUGGGUGGUGUUGGGUGUAGGAUGGAGUGGGGAGGAGUGCGAUACGUGGAUGAGGACAUGUUCUCCUCACCAUUCGCCACUUGCCCCACUCGCACCACGCCCCGCCGCCGACAUUUGGUCGGGACUCGUCCCGGAUCAUAUUCACGCUUGUGCUGUUUGACAGAGUGACACGUGACAUCAAUAAUGACAACUUUUAACAAUGGAUCUCUUGGCUCUUGCCCCGAUGAAGAACGCAGUCAAGUGCGAAAUGUAAUGCGAUUUGCAUGAAUCUGUGAGUCAUCUAAUCUUUGAACGCAACUUGCACCAUGCAGCGAUGGAUGGUAUGUCUGUUUGAGUACGACAACUCAAUGCGCUUCGGUGCGACGUGGCCCACGGUGGGUGGGUUGAAAAGGAGCCAGUCAGGCUGGACGGUCUGGCAGUGUGCUAGGGACGGUGCCUAGGGAGUGGUGGGGGGUGUGCGGAGCAUGUAUGUUUACAUCUUGCGACCACACCAAUCUCCCUCUCCUCGCACGGUCUUGUCGCUGCCGACGCCAACCAGCCAUCAGCAAUCAACAAUCCGUCUCAAAUCAGGCAAGACGACCCGCUGAACUUAAGCAUAUCAGUAAGCGGAGGAAAGAAACUAACAAGGAUUCCCCCAGUAACGGCGAGUGAAGCGGGACCAGCUCAAAUUUAGAAUCUCUGCCGCAGGGCAGCGAAUUGUAGUCUAAAGAGGGAGAGGCAGGGUGUGGGGGUGGACAAAGUCCCCUGGAAUGGGGUGCCAGAGAGGGUGAGAGCCCCGUAACGUUCAUCCUCGUGCUCAUGGUCUGAUCCCUUCGACGAGUCGAGUUGUUUGGGAAUGCAGCUCAAAGCGGGUGGUAAAUCUCAUCCAAGGCUAAAUACUGGCAAGAGACCGAUAGCGAACAAGUACCGUGAGGGAAAGAUGAAAAGCACCUUGAAAAGGGAGUUAAAUAGUGCGUGAAAUUGUUAAGAGGGAAACGAUAGAGACUGAUGAUUGCGGGUGGACGGGCCACGGUUUUGGUCGGGGUCCUGAGGCGCGCAGAGUCAAUGCUGGUUGCCAGUGCUGGAUACGCCCUGCGGGAAGGUGGGAAUGUAGAAAUACGCUCCUUUAUAGACCGCGGGUGCUGCAGUGGCGGCGACCAGAGCGGUGCGGAACGGCGGCGCCGAUGCUAGGGAUGCGAGGGUGCACAGCGUGCUGAGUAUCUGUAAAUUCCUCGCUGCGGUGCUGUCUGACUGAACCCAACUUGACAGAAUGGUCUUUAACGACC
rnacentral:rRNA from 1 species